rnacentral:misc_RNA from 1 species
GACGUACACUCACACAGGGACUCGAUUUCUGAUUUGGAAAAUCAUUUUUACUUGUUUUUCGACCUUUCGAGUGACUUUUAUUUGUUUAAGUUUCCUUUCGGGACCAGUCUCUGACGUCAUCAGCGAGUGAAAAUGGCGGACGGGGAUCUAAAUGUCGAUAGUUUGAUAGCUCGACUACUCGAAGUGCGAGGAUGUCGGCCAGGCAAGACUGUACAGAUGACAGAAGCGGAAGUGCGUGGCCUGUGUCUCAAGUCAAGAGAGAUAUUCCUCAGUCAGCCAAUCCUAUUGGAAUUGGAGGCUCCUCUUAAAAUAUGUGGUGACAUCCAUGGCCAGUACACAGAUCUGCUUCGGUUGUUUGAAUACGGAGGUUUCCCACCAGAAUCUAACUACUUAUUUCUUGGAGACUAUGUUGACCGUGGCAAACAAUCUUUAGAAACCAUAUGUCUCUUGUUAGCAUACAAAAUCAAAUAUCCUGAGAACUUUUUUCUUCUCCGAGGGAAUCACGAGUGCGCCAGUAUCAACCGUAUUUAUGGCUUCUACGAUGAAUGUAAAAGACGAUUCAAUGUGAAACUGUGGAAAACAUUUACAGACUGCUUCAACUGUCUACCCAUUGCAGCCAUUAUUGAUGAGAAGAUCUUCUGUUGCCAUGGAGGUUUGUCCCCUGAUCUGCAGUCCAUGGAACAAAUCCGGCGUAUCAUGAGACCAACAGAUGUCCCUGACACAGGGUUGUUGUGCGACUUGCUGUGGUCAGAUCCGGACAAGGAAGUUCAAGGUUGGGGAGAGAAUGACCGAGGUGUGUCCUUCACCUUUGGAGCAGACGUUGUGUGCAAGUUCCUAAGUCGACAUGAUCUGGAUCUCAUCUGCAGGGCACAUCAGGUGGUGGAAGAUGGGUACGAAUUCUUCGCUAAACGACAGUUGGUUACAUUGUUCUCUGCACCAAACUACUGUGGAGAGUUUGACAAUGCUGGAGGAAUGAUGUCUGUAGACGAUACACUCAUGUGUUCAUUUCAGAUAUUGAAACCAUCUGAGAAGAAAGCCAAGUACCAGUAUGGAGGAUUAAACUCGGGUCGACCAAUCACGCCCCCUAGGGGGCCCCAGAAGAAGAAAAACUAAAGAGAGACCCCUGGAUCAAUAUCAUCUUCAUCACACACCAAUCACUAUAUCUGUACCACUGACAGGCAUCAAACCAAUCAGGGUUGAUCUUAUAUCUGACAGGCAACAAACCAAUCAGCUUACAUCUGCUUUAGAGAGAAAUCAAGAACACUGAGAAAGUCGUUUGUGUGUAUAUGAAUAUCUGCUGAGUCAAUGCAAAUUGAAUUUAUGAGGUUGUACAGAUAUUUGAAAAUGUAAUUUGGUAAAUAGGUACGUGGACAUUUGUUAUUAUUAGAUUGUUGAACUUGUUCCAAACACUUCUCAAAGUUUGGACUUUCCAGCUAUCCAGCACCUAUCCUGUACUGAAAUACAUGACCAAAGUAGUAUGGGGUAUGGUUUCACAGACCUGUUUGCUGGCAUAAGUCGCACAACUGCUUCUCCUUUUUUAUUUCUGUUAAAUGUUUUUGUUAUCCCUGUGUUGUUUCAUAGAACACAAUGUUUGACACCAAGAUUAUUUGUAGUGAGUGCAUGUUAAUCCAUUAACACAAGUUUUCAGUGUGGAGGUAAAGGUAAACUGCAAUAAGUUUGAAGCAAAAUACACCUCACAUCAGGUUUCUGAAACAGUGGUUGCUUAAAGUGAGGGAGGUAAGUGUUGAUUUUUGUUAAAGACUAAUCAAUGUAAUUGUCCCCCUUACCAAAUAAGCUACUAAACGUGAUGCAUGUACCCCCUGCUGUUCCUUUUGUUUCCACUGAACUCAAAGAUGUAAUUGUGAAUGAAUAUGUGUCAGAAAGUAGUUAUGCUAGGUGCUUCCUAUGUUAGAGGUAUGGUGGAACAAUAAUACAUCAAGCAUUAUAUGAGGGUUCCACAUGGUACAGUGCCUGAAGCUUCCUGCCGUGUAUGGCCGGAAUAUUGUAAACAGUGAUGUAGAACUCACUCGCUCUAUAACUCAGUGUGUUUCCAGUAUGGUCAGUUAGGACUGACAAGAAGAUAGAAGCUAUUGUCUCAGUGGAAUAC